UUAAGCGACUAAGCGUACACGGUGGAUGCCCUGGCAGUCAGAGGCGAUGAAGGGCGUGCUAAUCUGCGAUAAGCGCCGGUAAGGUGAUAUGAACCGUUAUAACCGGCGAUACCCGAAUGGGGAAACCCAGUGUGACUCGUCACACUAUCAUUAACUGAAUCCAUAGGUUAAUGAGGCGAACCGGGGGAACUGAAACAUCUAAGUACCCCGAGGAAAAGAAAUCAACCGAGAUUCCCCCAGUAGCGGCGAGCGAACGGGGAGGAGCCCAGAGCCUGAAUCAGCAUGUGUGUUAGUGGAAGCGUCUGGAAAGGCGCGCGAUACAGGGUGACAGCCCCGUACACAAAAGCGCAUGUGCUGUGAGCUCGAUGAGUAGGGCGGGACACGUGGUAUCCUGUCUGAAUAUGGGGGGACCAUCCUCCAAGGCUAAAUACUCCUGACUGACCGAUAGUGAACCAGUACCGUGAGGGAAAGGCGAAAAGAACCCCGGCGAGGGGAGUGAAAAAGAACCUGAAACCGUGUACGUACAAGCAGUGGGAGCACCCUUUUGGGUGUGACUGCGUACCUUUUGUAUAAUGGGUCAGCGACUUAUAUUCUGUAGCAAGGUUAACCGAAUAGGGGAGCCGGAGGGAAACCGAGUCUUAAUUGGGCGUUAAGUUGCAGGGUAUAGACCCGAAACCCGGUGAUCUAGCCAUGGGCAGGUUGAAGGUUGGGUAACACUAACUGGAGGACCGAACCGACUAAUGUUGAAAAAUUAGCGGAUGACCUGUGGCUGGGGGUGAAAGGCCAAUCAAACCGGGAGAUAGCUGGUUCUCCCCGAAAGCUAUUUAGGUAGCGCCUCGUGAAUUCAUCUCCGGGGGUAGAGCACUGUUUCGGCUAGGGGGCCAUCCCGGCUUACCAACCCGAUGCAAACUGCGAAUACCGGAGAAUGUUAUCACGGGAGACACACGGCGGGUGCUAACGUCCGUCGUGAAGAGGGAAACAACCCAGACCGCCAGCUAAGGUCCCAAAGUCAUGGUUAAGUGGGAAACGAUGUGGGAAGGCCCAGACAGCCAGGAUGUUGGCUUAGAAGCAGCCAUCAUUUAAAGAAAGCGUAAUAGCUCACUGGUCGAGUCGGCCUGCGCGGAAGAUGUAACGGGGCUAAACCAUGCACCGAAGCUGCGGCAGCGACACUGUGUGUUGUUGGGUAGGGGAGCGUUCUGUAAGCCUGUGAAGGUGUGCUGUGAGGCAUGCUGGAGGUAUCAGAAGUGCGAAUGCUGACAUAAGUAACGAUAAAGCGGGUGAAAAGCCCGCUCGCCGGAAGACCAAGGGUUCCUGUCCAACGUUAAUCGGGGCAGGGUGAGUCGACCCCUAAGGCGAGGCCGAAAGGCGUAGUCGAUGGGAAACGGGUUAAUAUUCCCGUACUUGGUGUUACUGCGAAGGGGGGACGGAGAAGGCUAUGUUGGCCGGGCGACGGUUGUCCCGGUUUAAGCGUGUAGGUGUGUGUUCCAGGUAAAUCCGGUUCACUUUAACACUGAGGCGUGACGACGAGGCACUACGGUGCUGAAGCAACAAAUGCCCUGCUUCCAGGAAAAGCCUCUAAGCAUCAGGUAACAUCAAAUCGUACCCCAAACCGACACAGGUGGUCAGGUAGAGAAUACCAAGGCGCUUGAGAGAACUCGGGUGAAGGAACUAGGCAAAAUGGUGCCGUAACUUCGGGAGAAGGCACGCUGACACGUAGGUGAAGUGAUUUACUCAUGGAGCUGAAGUCAGUCGAAGAUACCAGCUGGCUGCAACUGUUUAUUAAAAACACAGCACUGUGCAAACACGAAAGUGGACGUAUACGGUGUGACGCCUGCCCGGUGCCGGAAGGUUAAUUGAUGGGGUCAGCGCAAGCGAAGCUCCUGAUCGAAGCCCCGGUAAACGGCGGCCGUAACUAUAACGGUCCUAAGGUAGCGAAAUUCCUUGUCGGGUAAGUUCCGACCUGCACGAAUGGCGUAAUGAUGGCCAGGCUGUCUCCACCCGAGACUCAGUGAAAUUGAACUCGCUGUGAAGAUGCAGUGUACCCGCGGCAAGACGGAAAGACCCCGUGAACCUUUACUAUAGCUUGACACUGAACAUUGAGCCUUGAUGUGUAGGAUAGGUGGGAGGCUUUGAAGUGUGGACGCCAGUCUGCAUGGAGCCGACCUUGAAAUACCACCCUUUAAUGUUUGAUGUUCUAACGUGGACCCGUGAUCCGGGUUGCGGACAGUGUCUGGUGGGUAGUUUGACUGGGGCGGUCUCCUCCUAAAGAGUAACGGAGGAGCACGAAGGUUGGCUAAUCCUGGUCGGACAUCAGGAGGUUAGUGCAAUGGCAUAAGCCAGCUUGACUGCGAGCGUGACGGCGCGAGCAGGUGCGAAAGCAGGUCAUAGUGAUCCGGUGGUUCUGAAUGGAAGGGCCAUCGCUCAACGGAUAAAAGGUACUCCGGGGAUAACAGGCUGAUACCGCCCAAGAGUUCAUAUCGACGGCGGUGUUUGGCACCUCGAUGUCGGCUCAUCACAUCCUGGGGCUGAAGUAGGUCCCAAGGGUAUGGCUGUUCGCCAUUUAAAGUGGUACGCGAGCUGGGUUUAGAACGUCGUGAGACAGUUCGGUCCCUAUCUGCCGUGGGCGCUGGAGAACUGAGGGGGGCUGCUCCUAGUACGAGAGGACCGGAGUGGACGCAUCACUGGUGUUCGGGUUGUCAUGCCAAUGGCACUGCCCGGUAGCUAAAUGCGGAAGAGAUAAGUGCUGAAAGCAUCUAAGCACGAAACUUGCCCCGAGAUGAGUUCUCCCUGAGACUUAGAGUCUCCUGAAGGAACGUUGAAGACGACGACGUUGAUAGGCCGGGUGUGUAAGCGCAGCGAUGCGUUGAGCUAACCGGUACUAAUGAACCGUGAGGCUUAACCUU
rnacentral:rRNA from 1 species